ensembl:lncRNA
GUCCGCCACACUAGACCAGUGACUCUCAAGGGGGAUCUUCAGUCCCUUGACAAAGAGUCAUAGGGGUAGGGGGUUGAGGGAGGGUUCCUGUUAAAAUCCAUAUUCCUCAGCCCAGUUCCAGGUGUGGACGCCUCUUCCUCAUGCUACCCAGUGUUGAUUCCUAUUCUUUCCAGAAACAGCAUCCUAAUUUCUCUGUAGGGAAUUUCUUCCCCUAAUUUACCUUCAGUCUCUAUAGGAUAAUUAUGGAAGGUGCUUUGCCCUCUCUCGUUGCGGGACAAACAGGUGACACAUUCCAUUCUCUUCCUGGCACUCCGAAUCUGGGGCAACAAAAGGACAGAAGAUUUGUCUAUUAGUUCCUCCAACCUAAAACACUCGAUGCCUUUCUGGCUAAAUUAAAUUAAAAGUAUUGGCAGAACCUGUGAUGUCUCGUCUCACGUGAACCUACGGGAUCUCAUCUAAUAGAAGGAAAGCUGAACAUCCGGGUCUCACAACGGACAGGUACCAGGGUCACGUUUUGUUGCUUCCAACCUAAGAAAUAAAAGACAGGACUACUGAGUCCGAAUAUUCAGGAUGAGGACCAAGAGUGACCAGCUUUUGUAAAGUUAUGGAAGAGUUAAGGUGUCAAGAGCAUGGUGUCCUUUGGAUCUACUGCUGUUGUUCUGCAUAGAUGGACUCAAACACAGGAUCACUGGCUCCUAGAAAGUCACCAAUUGUUGAGCCAAAAGAUUUUCCAACCCUGAUCCACAGAGUCAUGGGUAUUAGAGAGGCUUCAUAGCCAAGCAUAGAGGAUGGAACUAUAUCAUUCACUGGGCUUCUAUAUAAGAUUUUACUUGCAAGAAGACUUUUCCUGCUGAAUAAGAAGUUUGAAAGCCACCUAGUCCAAAUCACUAACUUUCGAGAUGAGGAAAUCAAGGAACAGAUAUGGUUACUUGCCUCCAAGCAGGCUCCAGAAUUCUUGUCAUCUGUCUUCUUUUUUUCCCUACAAGGAUAAUAAAACCACUUGGUUGACUUAAAAGGUCUUUUGGCCAAAGGACGUGGUAACACGUGGAUCAGCUUUACCAUGAGAGCAUUUCCGCUUGCCUAGUACAGCAUGUCAUGUUCACAGCUGCAGCCGUCAUAGGAAAAUGGAGUCCUUUAUAUCCUGUUAAACCACUGGAGAGAGAUUUUAGGGGUCUAUGUGAGAAGUGGGACAUAGGAGAGAGUUGAAACAUCCAAGAAGCCCCCUGACCCAAAGGAGGAGCUCCAACACUGCAACCAGAGGACGUAUGACAGAUUCCACUCCACCACAUGUCUUCAUGAGAAGAGGCAAUACCAAGAAAUGCAAGCAGGCACCCAGCAACCCAGAGGCACGACAACAAGUGGGAGGAGCCACUGCAAAAAAAUGGAACAGGAAAAACAAAGAGCACAGCCGCAGUCCUGAGGCAGGCUGGAAUUUAAGUUCUUUGGAAGACAGAUGUAUCCAAUUCAGCCUGGGGUUCAAAGACCAUAACAUACUGAACACUCUGAAGUGCUGGGGGUGUUCAGGAGUCUGAUUUCUGGGUGGAUGUGUUGGAACUCCUCACCAGCUACAGGAUGGCCGAGAACUGCAAAUAUUCCUGCUAAGAUUCAGGCAGCUGGAAGUUCAGCUGGCGUUUACGUGAGCUGAAAGGAGAGAUCAAGUGAGAAGAAACGGGGCUGAAAAGACACCAGUUGUGAAGGUUUUCUGUGCCGUGCUGAGGAGUUUGGCUUCAAACUUCAGACAACUCAGUGGGUUUCUCCCAACCAAGUCAGGCUUCCCAGUUUCCUGCUUCUGCGUCCUGCCCUUACCUCUCUCAUAGUAAAUUGCAAUACGGUCUGUUGAGUGCUAGUUAGGUGUUUGUCUCUUCCACUAAAUAAAGAAUUCCUUGAGGUCACA